AUGUACAGCCAUACCACUCUGAGCAAGCCCGAUCUCCUCUGACCUCAGAAGCUAAGCAAGGUUAGGCCUGGUUAGUACUUGGAUGGAAGAAAAUAGAUAUGAAUAGAGCUGACAAG
rnacentral:rRNA from 1 species